AUUGAACGCUGGCGGAAGGCUUAACACAUGCAAGUCGAGCGGCAGAAGGGGGGCAACCCUGGGAUCGAGCGGCGAACGGGUGAGUAAUACAUCGGAACAUGCCCGGUAGUGGGGGAUAACACUCGGAAACAGGUGCUAAUACCGCAUACGUCCUGAGGGGGAAAGCGGGGGAUCGUAAGACCUCACGCGAUCAGAUGAGCCUAUGUCGGAUUAGCUAGUUGGUGGGGUAAAGGCCUACCAAGGCAACGAUCCGUAGCUGGUCUGAGAGGAUGAUCAGCCACACUGGAACUGAGACACGGUCCAGACUCCUACGGGAGGCAGCAGUGGGGAAUUUUGGACAAUGGGCGCAAGCCUGAUCCAGCCAUGCCGCGUGUGUGAAGAAGGUCUUCGGGUUGUAAAGCUCUUUCAGCAGGAACGAAGCGCUGUGAUCUAACAUCUCGCUGUCCUGACGUUACCUACAGAAGAAGCACCGGCUAACUUCGUG
rnacentral:rRNA from 1 species